AAAAAAAACACACACACAUUACCGUCAAUUUAAAAUCUUAACUCAUAAAGCGAAACCACACACACACAUUACCGUCCUUUUGAAGCUGUUUUGGUUAUCAGAAGAAGAAAAGAAAAAAAAAAUCGAAACUUUAACUCUCAGAUUGAAAUCGAAAGCACGGAUCUUUCUUCAAAUCUGCAGGAACCCAUUCAUGAUUUCGAAGAUCUGUUUAUCAAAUCUAAGAUCUGGGUUUGGUUUGUUAAUUUGAACAAAACCCAACAACCAUGUGCGAUCAAAGACCAAUUUUUCUAAGGUCUCUCGUGCUGUUGGGUUUCUUCCUCUUCUCUGCAAUUGGAGAAGAAUGCUCCAAUACGAGCUCAUUGGUUGGGCACGAGUCUGAGUUCAAGAUGUUACAGCACCAGCUUCGUCGGGACGUAGGCGUUGUCCCGGACGUGCGCAUAGGCCUGUACUAGAAAGAAUGGAGCUUUACGUGCGUAAUGAUAUGGCGGAAUGCCAGAGGAUGGAGGCACAUGAUGGAGCCAAGAUGUUACAGAAUAUUUCAGGGGAUGUGCAGGUUCUUGUACACGAUCCUCGAAGAGUUGCAGAGCCUAUGAUCAAGACUUCUCAGUAGUAGUGGGUUGUUUAUUUGUCCCAUUUAAUGAUGUUGUUCUCUGUUUGGUUGAUUUUCCAAAUAAUUUGAACUUCUUGGAAACAAUGAGGACUUGGUCAUCUAUGUGAACCAUAGAUAAUAAAGAAUUAUUGAGUAAUAUUAAGAUUUUAUAUA